AUGUAUACUCGGCCCGGUCACAGAGAGUGGAAUAUUUGGAGAUUUCCUAACGGGCAUGGUGUGGCCGAUGUCAUAUACCGUGAUGGCAAAUUCCUGGCACUCACCCACUUUGGCGAUGUUUAUGCUAUGGACAUUUGCUCUCCGUUGUCUUCUCCGAAGGCUUCGUUAUUUGCCAAGAGAUAUCGUGGUUAUAUCUUUUGCGAUACCAGCUACCUGGUGGACUCAUCAGGGGUUCUUUUGCAGGUCGUCAGGCAAGAAGAGUUCCUCAAGGAGGAAUCUAGAAACCGAACAUGCAAAAUUGAGAUUUGUAGUUUGGACCCUGAAACAGGGACAUGGAGUCUAGUAACGAGCUUGGGCGAUCACUCUCUCUUCGUAGGUUGUUGGUACUCUGCGUCCCUUUCGGCAAAGGAGAUUUCCUGGCUACAAGAGAACCGUGUCUAUUUUACCGAUGACAAUUGGGACAAGAUCCCAGUGAGGCAGGAAAGGGUUCGUGAUAUCGGAGUGUUCAACUUGAGCGAUGGCAGUUUCGGGACUUGCUAUCCUCCGGACAUGAGAUUGACAUGGCCUCCGCCUGCCUGGAUCACAUCUCCUCAAAUCUGAAUUAUAAAGCACAAUCCCACUGCUCUGGAGCUUUGAAGAUUGGUUGUCCCUCAACCAUUUGGGCACUGACAUCUUUAUCGUGCAAAAACAGCCACUCCUGUUUCUUAGAAGUGUAAUAUUAUGUGGCAUAUUGUGUGUUUAUUUAUCAGUCCUUUGUUAAUCUAUUGGAUGAAGGAUGCUACUGUAAAAGUAUCUGUAGAAGUUUGUUCUCCAAUAAUUACCAUUAUUUAUACUUUAUACUGUUGAUCCAUUAUUUUUUGGAUCUUUAUGGCAUGUAAGGUAAUUUUGUGAUAUUUACUGAGUCUUUGACAUAAUAUGAA